UUACCCACCGGCUUCGGGUGUUGUAAACUCUCGUGGUGUGACGGGCGGUGUGUACAANACCCGGGAACGUAUUCACCGCGGCAUGCUGAUCCGCGAUUACUAGCAAUUCCGACUUCAUGCAGGCGAGUUGCAGCCUGCAAUCCGAACUGANAUCGACUUUGAUAGGAUUGGCUCCACCUCGCGGUUUCGCUUCCCGUUGUAUCNACCAUUGUAGUACGUGUGUAGCCCAGGUCAUAAGGGGCAUGAUGAUUUGACGUCAUCCCCACCUUCCUCCGGUUUGUCACCGGCAGUCAUCCUAGAGUGCCCACCCGAAGUGCUGGCAACUAAGAUCAAGGGUUGCGCUCGUUGCGGGACUUAACCCAACAUCUCACGACACGAGCUGACGACAACCAUGCACCACCUGUCUUGAAUGCUCCGAAGAAGGCACCUAUCUCUAGGUGUUUCAUUCAGAUGUCAAGACCUGGUAAGGUUCUUCGCGUUGCUUCNAAUUAAACCACAUACUCCACUGCUUGUGCGGGUCCCGUCAAUUCCUUUGANUUCAGUCUUGCAACGUACUCCCCAGGNGGAAUGCUUAAUGUGUAACUCCGGCCCCAGGGUUUCAAAACCC
rnacentral:rRNA from 1 species